rnacentral:rRNA from 1 species
GACGAACGCUGGCGGCGUGCUUAACACAUGCAAGUCGAACGAUGAACCCGGAGCUUGCUCUGGGGGAUUAGUGGCGAACGGGUGAGUAACACGUGAGUAACCUGCCCUGGACUCUGGGAUAAGCGUUGGAAACGACGUCUAAUACCGGAUAGGACCUUGGAUCGCAUGAUCUGGGGUGGAAAGGUUUUUCGGUCUGGGUUGGACUCGCGGCCUAUCAGUUUGUUGGUGAGGUAAUGGCUCACCAAGGCGUCGACGGGUAGCCGGCCUGAGAGGGUGACCGGCCACACUGGGACUGAGACACGGCCCAGACUCCUACGGGAGGCAGCAGUGGGGAAUAUUGCACAAGGGGCGAAAGCCUGGUGCAGCAACGCCGCGUGCGGGAUGACGGCCUUCGGGUUGUAAACCGCUUUUAGUAGGGAAGAAGGGCUUCGGCUUGACGGUACCUGCAGAAAAAGGACCGGCUAACUACGUG